rnacentral:tRNA from 1 species
GCGUAGCCCGGUUAUCGCGCCGCGUUUGGGACGCGGAGGUCGCAGGUUCGAAUCCUGCCACCC